rnacentral:rRNA from 1 species
AGUCGAGGGGUAUAGUUCUUCGGAAUUAGAGACCGGCGCACGGGUGCGUAACGCGUAUGCAAUCUACCUUUCACAGAGGGAUAGCCCAGAGAAAUUUGGAUUAAUACCUCAUAGUAUGCAGAGUUGGCAUCAACACUGCAUUAAAGUCACAACGGUGAAAGAUGAGCAUGCGUCCCAUUAGCUAGUUGGUAAGGUAACGGCUUACCAAGGCUACGAUGGGUAGGGGUCCUGAGAGGGAGAUCCCCCACACUGGUACUGAGACACGGACCAGACUCCUACGGGAGGCAGCAGUGAGGAAUAUUGGUCAAUGGGCGCAAGCCUGAACCAGCCAUGCCGCGUGCAGGAUGACGGUCCUAUGGAUUGUAAACUGCUUUUGUACAGGAAGAAACAGUUCUACGUGUAGAACCUUGACGGUACUGUAAGAAUAAGGAUCAGCUAACUCCGUGCCAGCAGCCGCGGUAAUACGGAGGAUCCAAGCGUUAUCCGGAAUCAUUGGGUUUAAAGGGUCCGUAGGCGGUUUAGUAAGUCAGUGGUGAAAGCCCAUCGCUCAACGGUGGAACGGCCAUUGAUACUGCUAGACUUGAAUUAUUAGGAAGUAACUAGAAUAUGUAGUGUAGCGGUGAAAUGCUUAGAGAUUACAUGGAAUACCAAUUGCGAAGGCAGGUUACUACUAAUGGAUUGACGCUGAUGGACGAAAGCGUGGGUAGCGAACAGGAUUAGAUACCCUGGUAGUCCACGCCGUANACGAUGGAUACUAGCUGUUGGGAGCGAUCUCAGUGGCUAAGCGAAAGUGAUAAGUAUCCCACCUGGGGAGUACGUUCGCAAGAAUGAAACUCAAAGGAAUUGACGGGG